GCCAUCAUACUCGUGGCAGAGCACUGGUCUUGAAAAACCAGGGGUCGUGAGUUCGAUCCUCCCUGGUGGCU